rnacentral:rRNA from 1 species
UACGUAGGCAGCGAGCGUUGUUCGGAGUUACUGGGCGUAAAGAGUGCGUAGGCGGUUUCUAAGUUUGGUGUGAAUCUCCCGGCUCAACUGGGAGGGUGCGCCGAAGACUGGAAGGCUUGAGUAUGGGAGAGGUAAGGCGGAAUUCCUGGUGUAGCGGUGAAAUGCGUAGAUAUCAGGAGGAACACCUGCGGUGUAGACGGCUUACUGGACCAUAACUGACGCUGAGGCACGAAAGCGUGGGUAGCAAACAGG